CAAAAACACAAAUGCAACAAUGUUUUACCUACAGAUUUCACCUUUUUGCUUUGCAAUGCAGAAGAAACCCAUGACCGAGCAUGAUGGGAACAUGAAAAAAACAGCAUGUCCCCAAAUGAGUUCUACCCAAUAAAGGCUCUUAGAUCCUGAGGAACAGCAAAGCACAGACAUCACAGAUCCUGUGUCCAGUACACCUGGAGGCCAUAAAGCCUGCACACUAGCUACAUUGUAAAGGAUCAGAAUCCGCUGACACAGUGAAGAGCCGUCUCGGCAUCAAGUUAUGCAGCGAGAAGAUUUAGCUGGACCUGGCGAAGUAAAGAGAAAGCUCCAGGACUGGACAACUGAAGACUAACCCUGGCUAGAUGUUUGAAUUGUGAGCAAAACUAGACAUCUCGUAGAUGACGUUUAAGAAAGUCAGAACCUAAUUUGCCAACUGACAAUACAAUGAUGUAAUAAUUCUUAGGAUUAUCAUUUCUACCUUUAGGAGGAAAUAUGAGCUGAUCCACCUUGUGUAUAACCUGAAUCCUUGUGAGCUCAUUUAUGCUAAUCUGUAUAUUUUGUUUGAACAUCUGUAGAUUGAUUUAUGACAUCUCGUUCCUUCCCCAUAAAGGAAGCAGUUCAAAAAGCAGGAGUUUAAGUAGAUUUGUACUUUGUUACAAGUUGAUGAAGCAUUCUGCCAAACAGUUGAAUCUCAGGUCUUAGGUACAUUAGUUUUUAUUGUUCUUUUCCCAAAAAUUCAAAUGUGAACUGU